CCUACGGGGGGCAGCAGUGAGGAAUAUUGGUCAAUGGGCGUAAGCCUGAACCAGCCAAGUCGCGUGAGGGAUGAAGGUUCUAUGGAUCGUAAACCUCUUUUAUAAGGGAAUAAAGUGUGGGACGUGGCCUGUUUUGUAUGUACCUUAUGAAUAAGGAUCGGCUAACUCCGUGCCAGCAGCCGCGGUAAUACGGAGGAUCCGAGCGUUAUCCGGAUUUAUUGGGUUUAAAGGGUGCGUAGGCGGCCUUUUAAGUCAGCGGUGAAAGUCUGUGACUCAACCAUAGAAUUGCCGUUGAAACUGGGAGGCUGUAGUAUGUUUGAGGCAAGCGGAAUGCGUGGUGUAGCGGUGAAAUGCUUAGAUAUCACGCAGAACCCCGAUUGCGAAGGCAGCCUGCCAAGCCAUGACUGACGCUGAUGCACGAAAGCGUGGGGAUCAAACAGGAUUAGAUACCCUUGUAGUC
rnacentral:rRNA from 1 species